AGAGAUGUGAAGGAGGGCUUUUCUCAUGGAUUCACUUAAACACCGACAAAUUCUCUCUAUGGGAAGCCAGGAGAUCUGCAGGACAUGCAGAAGAACAUCUAUAUGGGCAUGGACAAAGCUUUACCUGAUUGUCUGGAGCCAGCAUAGAAAGGCAUAACUUUGGGCUUCUUAAGAUCUACAGAUGGAAACCUCCUGGCAGCGUGUGCAGAAACGAUCAGGUCCACAAGGACAACACGGGACAAAUCAAUCAUACAAGAUGGAUGGGGCCACUGGGUGACGCUUGGGUGAAAACCGCUUCCAGAUUUCACACCAGCUUCGCUUUUGUGCUCCGGCUGAAAACACAGCUUUAUUGCAUGAGCAUAAGUAAUACAGGAAGGCACUUACCACUCCAUUUUGUGCAGCUUUUGUUUGUGAUAGUCUUAAUUUACUGCUGAAGUGAAUCCGAGACUGAUAAUUUUUAUGAUUUUUUACCAAGAAAAGACAUUAAGCUACUUACUUUGGCUGCACUUCCUACUCUGCAGAAAUUAUUUAUCCAAGCACAGCGGCAAAGUGGGUCAGGGGAGGAAUAAUAAUAAUAAUAAUAAAAGAAACCGCCCACAAAAAUCUUGAAUCCCUUGCAGAAGUUGGAUUAAGGCUCAAGAUACUGGAUGCAAACCGCUGCCACGUUCUCCAUUUCAAAGGAAAGGUGUCAGCUCAGGCAGCGAUGUCAAAGGCUGCAAAGUUUGGGCUGCAAAAUCCCACUCCUACCGUUUGCCAUGCUGGCCACAAAGGAACAGAGAGCUGGAUUUGGCUCUGCAAGCUACUCUGCCUUUUCCUCAAGGGAUAUAUACCCCAAGAACUGAGUUGCUUCAUUGAUUCUGUGCAUGGGUAAGCAGCAGUGCCCAUGGGGAGGAGGGGAGAACAGGGAAGAGAAAGCUUUUUUCCCUGUAUUUUCUACCACCAACUGCUCAGUUUGGGUGAAAUAGGAGAGUCACAUCUUUUCCCAACUCUCUGAAGUGAGGGGAACUUUGCUGAGGCCCCAGCUUGAACCGGACCGUGCCCAGAUAUCAUCAGAUCCUGCACAAGAAAAAUAAAGAGCUCAAGUUGCAAAAGAAGAGCGAUGGAGGAGUGAAACUCGAGAGGAGCAUACAGUCCGCUGACAGCUCCCUGCAGCUCAAACCGACCCGUCAGGGCCACAGCAAAGCCUUGGAGCAGCAGCAUUGUGCUCCAGGAAAAUCAGCAUGGUGCAGCCAGGAGGGGAUCAUGCUCAUGCAGAACGAUCUCUGCAGUGGCACCAGAGGAAGAGAUCACACCAUUUGCAAAAGCAAUCUGUGCAGGUGAGAAGGGAAACACAAACCACAUCAGCAGCUGAGCUAAUCAAAAAGGAUCUAGCAUUAAUAAACCAGAAGGGGAGGAAAAGAGAUAAAACCUGGCAAGGCUGUUGGCAGAAAGAUGCUUUUCUUGCCUCACCAGCAGGAAUCCAACACACAAAAACCCAACACAUUUCUUACAUUAGACAAUUAAAACCCCAUCUUAAUCCUGAGAGACUUCAGGUGGCACAGCAUGUUGUUAUUUAAUUACACCUUCCAGGGCUGAUUAGCUAUCCAAGCAGCAAGGCAUCUCCACCUCCAGUACAAGUAAAGGAAGAGAGAGCAGUGGGAUGGAACCUCUGUACCACGAAGGUAUGACAGCCACAGUGGGAUCAAAGUCACUCCAAGUUGAACAUAGUCUGAUCUUAGUGAGGCUAACUGUAAUUCCCAGUAUCUAUAAGGGCAUCAGUAGUGGUUGUAGAUCCAGGCAGGGUAUGGGUGAGAUGGAGUGCAGCUGGGCUGGAUGCACUGUCUGCUGGAUCCCAGCCUUGCCAGGAAAUUUGGUUCAUUCUUCAGAGUGAUGUUGUCAGUGACCUCCGUUGACUGUGUGGAGCAUCACAGGCAGUCCUGCGAGCACAGCCCACCUCUCCACUCUGGGAAAUAGCUCAGAACACCAAACUCACAAGUAGAAGAGUGCCUGAGCCAGCAGGAACAGGCCUUCAGCUGGGAAGGUGGGUAAAUUUGGAGCAAAAAGACCAGUGUUUGCAAAAUGAAAUUCCAGAACGACUUCAGAUUGCAUUGAUUAAAGCCAGAUUUGUUGCCUCACUUCCAUUUAAGUUAGCUGUGAGGCUGCUUCUUUUCCUUAGGUGUUUCCAUGGCUACUUAAUGAAGCCUUCACUCUAGCUUCUCACUUGGAAAGUAGGAGAUGGGUCAAAUUUGAAGAGUUUUUAAAGGGG
ensembl:lncRNA